rnacentral:rRNA from 1 species
UUAGUUAGUUGGUGAGGUAAUGGUUCACCAAGGCAACGAUCAGUAGCCGGCCUGAGAGGGUGACCGGCCACAUUGGGAAUUAGUCACGGCCCAGACUCUUACGGGAGGCAGCAGUGGGGAAUAUUUCACAAUGGGGGAAACCGUGAUGCAGCAACGCGGUGUGAGCGAAGAAGUAUUUUGGUAUGUAAAGUUUUAUCAGCAGGGAAUAGUAAAUAAGGUACUUUAUUAAGAAGCCCGGGUUAAUUACUUGCCAGCAGCCGCGGUAAUACUUAGGGGGCAAGCGUUUUCCGGAUUUAUUGGGUGUAAAGGGGGGUUAGACGGCUGUUUAAGUCGGAAGUGAAAGCCCAUUGCUUACCCCUGGGAUUGUUUUGGAAAUUUAGGGGUUGGAUGCCAGGGGAGUUAAUUGGAAUUCUUGUUUUGGGGUUGAAAGGGUUGGUGAUUAGGAGGACCACCAUUGGGGAGGGGGGUUUAUU